AACGCGAAGAACCUUACCAAGGCUUGACAUAUACCGGAAAGCAUUAGAGAUAGUGCCCCCCUUGUGGUCGGUAUACAGGUGGUGCAUGGCUGUCGUCAGCUCGUGUCGUGAGAUGUUGGGUUAAGUCCCGCAACGAGCGCAACCCUUGUCCUGUGUUGCCAGCAUGCCCUUCGGGGUGAUGGGGACUCACAGGAGACCGCCGGGGUCAACUCGGAGGAAGGUGGGGACGACGUCAAGUCAUCAUGCCCCUUAUGCCUUGGGCUGCACACGUGCUACAAUGGCCGGUACAAAGAGCUGCGAUGCCGCGAGGCGGAGCGAAUCUCAAAAAGCCGGUCUCAGUUCGGAUUGGGGUCUGCAACUCGACCCCAUGAAGUCGGAGUUGCUAGUAAUCGCAGAUCAGCAUUGCUGCGGUGAAUACGUUCCCGGGCCUUGUACACACCG
rnacentral:rRNA from 1 species